AAACAUCUUCAUCAAGAACAUGGAUGAGUCUAUUGACAACAAGGCACUGUAUGACACCUUCUCAGCCUUCGGCAAUAUUUUGUCCUGCAAGGUUGUUUGUGAUGAGAAAGGGUCCAAAGGCUAUGGCUUUGUUCACUUUGAGACUCAUGAGGCUGCGAACCGUGCCAUUGAUACCAUGAAUGGGAUGCUGCUCAACGAUAGGAAAGUUCAAAAGACACGUAAUCAUUUGGAAUCUGGCAUUGUCAACGCAAAGGCCCAUUUCCUGGGAGAAAAAUGUCAGUUGUCCAUUCUUAGCUUUGUCGGCCACUUUAAGUCCCGCAAGGAAAGAGAGGUGGAGUUUGGGACCAAAGCUAUGAAGUUCACCAAUGUCUACAUCAAAAACUUUGGUGAAGACUACACUGAUGAGAAACUCAAGGAACUCUUCACUGCAUUUGGGAGGACUCUCAGUGUGCGGGUGAUGAAGGACGAGAGGGGCCAUUCACGAGGAUUCGGCUUUGUGAACUACGCUAACCACGAGGAUGCUCAGAAGGCAGUUGAUGAAAUGAAUGGAAAGGAGAUCAAUGGGAAAGUCAUCUAUGCAGGUCGUGCUCAGAAGCGGCAGGAGCGCCAAGGAGAGCUCAAGCGCAAGUUUGACCAGAUCAAACAGGACCGGAUCCAGCGCUAUCAGGGGGUGAAUCUGUAUGUGAAGAACUUGGAUGAUAGCAUAGAUGAUGAGAGGCUGCGGAAGGAGUUUGCCCCUUACGGCACCAUCACCAGUGCCAAGGUGAUGACAGACGGUUCCCAAAGCAAGGGCUUUGGCUUCGUCUGUUUCUCUUCACCUGAGGAAGCAACAAAAGCAGUAACUGAAAUGAACGGGAGAAUAGUUGCGACCAAGCCACUGUACGUGGCUCUGGCUCAGCGGAGGGAGGAGCGGAAAGCAAUCCUGACCAAUAAAUACAUGCAGAGACUUGCUACCCUGAGGACCAUGACAAGUCCGAUCAUUGACUCGUACCAGCAGACUGGAUACUACAUGACCGUACCACAGCCUCCCGCUCGCUCCUUCUACAACCACAAUGCUGUCAGCAACAUGAGACCAGUGCCACGUUGGACAGGGCAGCCACCCAGACUACCGGGCCCCUACACAACCCAGUUUGUCGGUAGUUCAGCCCCUAGACGCGGAUCGACCCCGAUCGCCACUGUCAGACAGGCUUCCACCCAGGCUCCGCGCAUCGUGAGCUCCACACAAAAGACAAAUAACAUUGGGACCCAGACUGUAGGAGGGCGUACUGACGUGCCUGGUGUGACAAGGGGCGGCCAGUACAAGUACUCAUCUGCAGUGAGAAACGUCCAGCAGGUCAUUACUAUACCUGGACCAAUGACGAGACUACAGGUUGUUCCAGCACCUAUGAUGGAGCCACCGGUGCACAUUCAAAGCCAAGAGCCACUCACUGCCUCGAUGUUGGCUGCAGCUCCACUCAUGGAUCAGAAACAGCUUCUCGGAGAGCGGUUGUACCCACUGAUCCAUACCCUUCACCCAAACCUGGCUGGAAAAAUCACUGGGAUGCUGCUGGAGAUCGACAACUCUGAGCUGCUGCACAUGCUGGAGACGCCAGAGUCCCUGCACUCUAAGGUGGACGAGGCGAUCGCUGUCCUGCAGGCUCACCAGGUGAAGGAAUGCUCUCCGAAGAAGUGAAGAGCCCUUUCAGGUCAGAAACAACUUCUCCUCCUCUGUUGAGAGACAGCUGUGAAAGGAUCCCUUACAGCAAAUGUCAACGACUUUCUGGAGGAGGGAAAAAAAUGAAAAAAAAAAAAGUAAAAAUUUUGAAAAAGAGAGAGAGAAAAAAAAACUAAAGAAAAAAUGUUCUAUGUAGAUUGAAUUGACAGUAAAGAGAGAUUUGUGAAGUUAAAACUAUUUUGUUGAUGCAAUACCUUUUGUUAGAAGAUAAAGUUUACAGUAUAUGCAUUAAA